rnacentral:rRNA from 1 species
UACGGGGGGGGCAAGCGUUGUUCGGAAUUACUGGGCGUAAAGGGCGCGUAGGCGGUUCGCUAAGUUGGAUGUGAAAACUCUGGGCUCAACCCGGAGCCUGCAUCCAAAACUGGCGGGCUAGAGUUCUGGAGGGGGUAGCGGAAUUCCUGGUGUAGCGGUGAAAUGCGUAGAUAUCAGGAGGAACACCGAUGGCGAAGGCAGGUCUCUGGGCCAUAACUGACGCUGAGAAGCGAAAGCAUGGGGAGCGAACAGG